UGGUGGGUAGUUUGACUGGGGCGGUCUCCUCCUAAAGAGUAACGGAGGAGCACGAAGGUUGGCUAAUCCUGGUCGGACAUCAGGAGGUUAGUGCAAUGGCAUAAGCCAGCUUGACUGCGAGCGUGACGGCGCGAGCAGGUGCGAAAGCAGGUCAUAGUGAUCCGGUGGUUCUGAAUGGAAGGGCCAUCGCUCAACGGAUAAAAGGUACUCCGGGGAUAACAGGCUGAUACCGCCCAAGAGUUCAUAUCGACGGCGGUGUUUGGCACCUCGAUGUCGGCUCAUCACAUCCUGGGGCUGAAGUAGGUCCCAAGGGUAUGGCUGUUCGCCAUUUAAAGUGGUACGCGAGCUGGGUUUAGAACGUCGUGAGACAGUUCGGUCCCUAUCUGCCGUGGGCGCUGGAGAACUGAGGGGGGCUGCUCCUAGUACGAGAGGACCGGAGUGGACGCAUCACUGGUGUUCGGGUUGUCAUGCCAAUGGCACUGCCCGGUAGCUAAAUGCGGAAGAGAUAAGUGCUGAAAGCAUCUAAGCACGAAACUUGCCCCGAGAUGAGUUCUCCCUGACUCCUUGAGAGUCCUGAAGGAACGUUGAAGACGACGACGUUGAUAGGC
rnacentral:rRNA from 1 species